rnacentral:rRNA from 1 species
UACGGAGGGUGCAAGCAUUGAUCGGAAUUAUUGGGCGUAAAGGGCGCGUAGGCGGCCAGGUAAGUCAAAUGUGAAAUUCCGCGGCUCAACCGCGGAGCUGCAUUUGAAACUGCUUGGCUUGAGCGUAGUUAGGGAAAACGGAAUUCCACGUGUAGCGGUGAAAUGCGUAGAUAUGUGGAAGAACACCAGUGGUGAAGACGGUUUUCUGGGCUAUAGCUGACGCUGAGGCGCGAAAGCUAGGGGAGCAAACAGG